AACAUCAUAGAAGUCCUGUUAUACCUCCCUGAAAAUGGCCAAUUGCAUUAUUAAAUUGAAUUGUGGUCUUAAACCAAACUUUUGACAGUUAAGCACAUUUUGAUUGAGUGCAAGCAUCUUAAGGAUAUUAGAUCUAAUCAUUACCGUUGCCAGUCCUUAUAUCAAUUAUUUGCCCAACCGGGUCUAUAUUGUAGAUUAAUAGACUUUCUAAAAGAGAAAAAAUUUUACACAAAAUUUUAAUUAUAUAUUUGUGAUUUUCAUUUGUUUUAUUUUAAUUAUAUAUACAUAAAGUGUUGUGAUAAUUGUUUUUAAUUGAUAAUCUCUGUGAUAUUUGUUUUUAUUUAUGUAUGUAUAGAUUACUAUUAUGAUUAUUAUUUAUGGAAGGGUUUUUGGGUCUAAAUAAGAUGAUCUGCUAAUUUGUGUAAUCCAUUGUUUACAAUGUUCUUAUGAAGAACUGCUCUUGGAAGUUCAUAGCAGAAUUACCAAUUUAGCCACUAAACUAGAGUGCAGACAAUCACUUACAACUGAUGAAAAAUUCGAAAUUGAAUGUAUAUACGGAAUAUUAGGAGUCAUAAGCGUUGAAAUGGAAUAUCAGGACAUAGGUGAUUGUCUGCAGAGCGUACUGGAUAGUUUGGCCCUAGCUUGGAAUAAUUUCGAAGCACAGGCUACGAAAGAGGACGGAACACAAAGAUUUUUAUCAACCUCAACAACAGUAGGUUAUACAGGCCGACCUAGGAUAUUAAUUCCAGCAGAGCAAUUAGAAUAUCUUCUGGUUUUAAAGUGAAAGAAAUUGCAGAUUUAUUCAAAGUAAGUCACAGUACAGUUAAAAGAAGACUGAAGGAAGAAGUACAUCUAACAAAUUAAGCAAUCUUUCCGAUGAGGAUUUAGAUGUUGUGGUUGAAAGUGUGCUAAAAGAUCAUCCAGACAUUGGUUACAGGAGUAUGAAAGGACAUUUAUCAAGUAAAGGAGAACUUGUUCAAGAGGCCAGAAUUAGAGAAUCCAUGCAAAGAGUUGACUUAGAAGGUUGCUUGUUUCGCAGGCUUAAUAUGAAUCCAGUUAAAAGAAGAAAAUAUGAAGUUAGAGCACCAAACUCCCUAUGGCAUAUAGAUGGAUAUCAUAAAUUAAUCGGGUAGGCUAUUUUUAAUCUUUAGAAAUGAAAUGGGGGUUUAACAUCCUACUUUUAUGCACUUUUUGUAUUGGCUAAUGAAGACUGGCAUAAGCCAUGAGGGAAUUUUGCGACAGUCAUCGAUUUUCAACUGUCUGGGUUCUUUAACGUUGCACUCAGGACCUCCGUUUUUCCUCCCACAUCUAGAUGCUAUUCCUCGCCAAGCCCUCGGGUCUGCCGGAUUGGAAAAUCCUGAUCUUUCCCUGACUGCAGAUCGAACCCACGACCUCCUGGUUAGCGAGCAAGCACCUUACUCACUGAGCCACCGCAGAUCAUCAUAUUCUUCAGAACCCAAGGGUACUUUGAAAUAGACCUAAAUCCUGAGAAACUGUAAUUGCAGCCCUGUUUAUGUCAUCUUUUUAAUUACGUUACGGUAUCUACUUUUAGUCUUCAGACUGGAUAAUUUUAUCAACCAACCUUUAAGUUUUCAUAACAUAUUAAUCUAGUUAUUUUAAGAUGGUGGUAUUGAUGGGUACUCCAGGCUGCCUGUAUAUUUAAAAGUAUCUGAUAACAAUAAAGCUGAAACAGUUCUAAGUAGUUUUGAAGAGGCUGUUAAUUUUUAUGGAAUGCCAGAGCGAGUUCGGUCAGAUAAGGGUGGUGAAAAUGUGGGAGUUGCGAAAUUUAUGGUAGAACAACGAGGAGCUGGCAGAGGAAGUCACAUUGCAGGAAGAAGUGUCCAUAAUCAAAGAAUAGAGCGCUUUUAGAGAGACCUCUGGACAGGGUGCAUUGAGCUUUUUUACAACCUUUUCUGUUUCAUGGAAUGUGAAGGUCAUCUUCAACCACCAAACAAUGAGGCACAUUUGAUGGCAUUGCAUUAUGUUUUUUUACCCAGAAUACAGAGACAUGUUGAUAACUUUCGUAAUGCUUUUAUGAGAAGAUCUUUAAGGACUGCUGGGCAGAAGUCUCCAUUACAGUUGUGGAUACAUGGGCAAAUCUUGGAUUCAGCAGAAGAAAUUGAUAAUGAGCAUGUUCUACAUUAUGGAAGUAGUCAAGAAGGUUUACCACUAUUAGCUACUGAUGAAGUAUCCAGUGUUGUCGAAAGUCCUCAAAUUAUUCCACGAGAAAAAUUUGAACAGUUAAAAAUGUUUGUGGACCCCCUCCAUCACUCUGAUUCACAUGGGAUAGACCUGUUUAUUAUGGCACGUGAUUUCUUAGUUCGGUAGUUUUAAUUAAUUCAAUUUGGACUAAGUAACCCUGAAUAAUUUAACAACUCACUGUACAUAUAACUUUAAUUCAAAUUUCAAAUCAACAUGCAGGUAUGUAACUUUGUAUAG